AGAUUAUUUUUUCUCAAAAGUGUUUUUAGUAGAGAAAAGUAACAGAUUACUUUUAAAAGUAGAUGUUUUACUUUUGCUACUAUCUUAAAAAUUUAAUCACAACUCAUAGAGAAGAGAAAGAAAGUUGGAAAGAGUUAGAAUAAAGUUAAAUAGAAAGAAGGUGAAUGAUAAAAAAAAUAAAACAAAAUAAAAUUUAAUUGUGGGAUUUGGAAAUAAGAUUAGUAAUUUUACAUUUAUAUUUAGUUUUUCAUUUUCUGGCAGUUCCAUCUAUUGACUUCUCAAGUAAAAAAAAUUAUUGUAGUUUUAUACAUUUUUGUAGGUAUCCA
rnacentral:misc_RNA from 1 species